ensembl:lncRNA AMZ2P1 AMZ2 pseudogene 1
ACGCGCGUGAGGGAUGUCGCGGAUGAAGGCACACUCCACAACUUCCUUCUGGCCAGGCCCAGACAUGUCUGUCCUUGUGAGAUAAAAGCUUCCAUGGGAGCCUUCCUUCCUAAUCAAGAUGCAAAUAGUACGGUAUUCCGAACAGACACUAAAAAUAGCUGUCAUCUCAAAGAAUCCAGUGCUUGUGUCACAGUAUGAGAAAGUAGAUGCUGGGGAACAGCGUUUAAUGAAUGAAGCAUUCCAGCCAGCCAGUGAUCUCUUUGGACCUUGCAUUCUCCAUCAGAUUGGAUCACCUCCCACCCUGAGGCCCCCCAAGACUUUGAACAGUUCUUCAGUCAUCCUUACAGAAAGAUACCCUCUCCAGACAAACGCAGUAUUUAUAUACGGUCCAUUGGAUCUCUAUGAAGCACCAGAAUUAUCAGUGAAGAAUAUAUUAAAUGGCUCACGGGCUACUGUAAAGCAUAUUUCUAUCGCUUGAGAGUAAAACUGCUAGAACCAGUUCCUGUUUCUACAACAAGGUGUUCCUUUAGAGUCAAUGAGAACACACAAAACCUACAAAUUCAUGCAGGGGACAUCCUGAAGUUCUUGAAAAAGAAGAAACCUGAAGAUGCCUUCUGUGUUGUGGGAAUAACAAUGAUUGAUCUUUACCCAAGAGACUUGUGGAAUUUUGUCUUUGGACAGGCCUCUUUGACAGAUGGCACUGGUGAGGUGGAUUGAUGAUGAAUCUUCUGGCACACCUGGAGCAACUCCAGAACACAGUCGUGAGGAUAAUGGGAAUUUACUGAAACCCGUGGAAGGAAGCCUUUAAGGAAUGGAAAGAGUGGAUAAUAAAAUGCCUGACUGUUCUCCAAAAAUAAGGACCUUCAAAUAGGAGUGAUUGAAAUAAAUGACUACUUGCAUGUUAUGCUUUCAUUUGGGUGGAAUACUUCAUCAGAAUAAACUAUUGAUCUUGUGCUGUGUCAAAGUAACAGACUAGAACCUUCUUUCAAGUACCUGAAUUGAAAUGAAACUCAUUUUGAAUAAUAAAAACUCUAGAAACUCUU